rnacentral:tRNA from 1 species
CAAGGAAUAGUUUAUUAAAAAUAUUAGUUUUGGGGAUUAAUGAUGGGGUUUUUCUUUUCUUUGA